GCGCUCAUUUCAGGAGCACAUACACUAAUAUCAGAACUAUAUAGAGAAGAUUAGCAUGGCCCUGCACAAGGACAGCACACAAAUUUCUGAAGUACUCCCUAUCUUU
ensembl:snRNA U6 U6 spliceosomal RNA